rnacentral:lncRNA from 7 species
UUUUUCAGUUCAUGAAUGUGUGCAUCACAGACCACAAACCUGUAAAAUGAUGUGUGUAGACUGGCUCUGCUUUGUAUCCAUAUCACAAAUAUCAUUCUAAAGAUGAAAAAUUGUGUUUUGCUUCCUGUCUAAAUAUUAAGGAAAAAUGCCAGCUUUACAUUCCUGUGCCAUGUGUGGAUGAACAAUGAUAUUUUCAUGUAUGCUACUUUUCUGUCUUGAAAACAUGCUGUUGGAAAUGCCUAUCUUCAAGAUGUUAAAUAUCAGAGUAUAUUACUUGCCUUACAGUGGCUGACAGUUCUGUAAAAUCAAAGAUUAAAAAAAGGCCAUGCAGUGAAACGCUGUAUGGAUUAAUAUGUCCUCUUAGUUUUAAUUUUCUAUAUCUGUUAACACUUGUCAUUAUUUGUAAGUGAUGCUGUUGAUACCGGAUCAAUUUUACUUUGAAAGCAAUGAUCAAAUGCUGUAGGUCAAUAGAAUAAGAUUUGCUAAAUAUAAACUAUUGACAGGAAACUAUAUUUAGAAGUAAACUAUCAUCUUGUAAGCUAUCUUCAGGUGGUUUGUUAUGUGUACUUACUAUGAAUUUCUUUGUCAGAGAUCUUGGAAAACAAAUGUAGGUUAUCAAUCUGCAAUUACUUCAAGAUUUUUUUUGCAUCAGCAUUUAAUUUUUAAUUAAAUUUAUCUCCUCUUCAAAGGAUAAUGGAUGCCAUUUCAUCUCCACAGAGUAAGAAAUUACAAAGGUCACAGGGUGAGAGAAGAAUAUCUUUACCAUUAUUUUUUUUAUCAGUUCUAGUUGUUCUAACAUCUGCCAGAUAAUCUUCAUCAGCUUUUAUUCAAGACUCAGUGACAUUUCAUUACUGAUAACUUUUAAUUAAAAUUGUUACUUUAAAAUCAUUCUAGUAAAAAUAUAUGGUGCACUAUAUUCUUCAAUUAAAAAAAAAAAAAAUCAGUCACUCUACAGUAUAUUUUUAUCAGUCCAAUUCCAUGGGAGUCUACCUGCAAGUCUCUUAAACCAGCCGUGUAUAACUGAAGGCUGAUGAGUUAGCCUGCUCUUGAGUUACUCUGCUGUUACUUUCUGCCCAUUAUGGUUAGAAAAAGAAAAGGCCAAUUAGGCUAAGAAUCAUCAUCUGCAAAUGAGCCAGGUAAAGUGACAGGAGAUAAACGAGGUUCUGUUAUCUCAAUAUAAUAAUAGAAACCUACAAAAGGAAGAGAGACAGGAAAAGGAGAAGGUUAAUGCAAAUGUGGUUUAAGAGUGUAAAAGCUGUUCAACUUCAGACUGGUAGAGAUCAGGAGCUGAAGUUAGUUGAGUUAUGCUAUGUGUUCAUCUUAAAGCAACAUCCAGAAAAGUGUUUUAGUCUCAUAAAAAGAGUCAAGAAACUCUUAAUUAUGUAGCUGGGCAGAUGUAUGCUCAUUCUUUCAACAUCUUAAUUUAGUUUCAAAUUAAUUAUAUACAGCAGACAGCUAAAUAUCAUUUCAACAUUGAAGUAUAAAUGAGCUUUAUUUAUUUAAGGCUGAAAAAAUAGGCAGGGCUCAGGAUAUCUAUGAAGAAAAAGGAAGUCUUAAACCCUUGGAAAGGAGUUGUAAAGAAAGUAGCAGCACAAUCAAGUGACUUCAGUCAUGUUGUGAGGCAAUGUAAGACUGAUGCAUACUUUGCUAGAAGGAAAAUGAGUCAUUGAGGCUCUGCUCAUCUUCUUUUCCUCCUGAAAGUUAAAAGAAUAAAACAGAGCAACUGGACUUCCAACACUGCAGUGCGGCGGUGAAAAUAUUAAAUAAGGAUUUAUUUUUCAAUAGAACCUGUAAGGUCUCGCGUCUCUCAGAUUUUUUUUAUUGUUUUUACUGGAGUUUGUAACUUACUAAAUAGUUCAGUCAGGUUAUAGUUGUCUUGGUAGUUUAUUUGUACAUAAUGAACAGUUAAUCAGAUAUUUUGGCUUAAAGUUUCUUGCUUCUUUUACAGCUCAUCCUACCUCAAAUGUACAGUUCCAUACAUUAACUUGACAUCAGGUUAAUGAACUUUGGCAAUCUGAAAAUUACAUCUCUAAAUCUACUUUACGUUUAACUAAAGUACAUGGUAUCUAGUUUCCUAUAAAAGCAAAGUAACAUACCAGAAUGACAGUGGUAUAUUUCAUGUGUUCAUUAUGCCUGUGGUAUUUUCUGCAUGGUUUUCAAUGUUGAUGGUCUACAGGCAACUCCUUCAUACCGUAAAUAGAAUCACUUAUCAGUAGAUGCAGAGAAAUGGUUUCUCUCAUUUUCCUGUGAUGAAAAAUAAAUGCAAAAUUAAACUCCUGAAUUAAUCUUUAGAAAUACACCCUUCAGAACUUAAUGUUUUUUUUAUUGUUCUUUCUUUUAUUUUUUUCAGAAUGAAAUACAUUUUUCAUUUUUAUAGGUUUUAUACUUUUAUUAAAAUAAUAAUAAGGUAUAUUCAUUGUUGUAACAUAACAUUGGAAUAUCUUCCUGGGCUGUUUCAGAUAUCCUUAGAAAAUGAAUUGAAAAAUCAACCAUUUUCAUCCUUCCAAAAUGAGGGAAUAAAGAUAAUGAGCUCUGU